rnacentral:rRNA from 1 species
UACGUAGGGGGCAAGCGUUGUCCGGAAUCAUUGGGCGUAAAGAGCGUGUAGGCGGUCCGGUAAGUCGGCUGUGAAAGUCCAGGGCUCAACCCUGGGAUGCCGGUCGAUACUGCCGGACUAGAGUUCGGAAGAGGCGAGUGGAAUUCCCGGUGUAGCGGUGAAAUGCGCAGAUAUCGGGAGGAACACCAAUGGCGAAGGCAGCUCGCUGGGACGUGACUGACGCUGAGACGCGAAAAGCGUGGGGAGCAAACAGGG